GUACAGCACUCUCUCCUGGCCUUGUGUGAUAUGUCUGCUUGUUAUUUGUUUUCCAAAUGCACACUCUUAUCCCAGGAGCCUACAGCUUCUCUACUUUCAUCUUUUUUAUGGUAAGUUUAGAAGCCCAAAGUGCUUAGAGGCUGAGUACCUUAAGGCGUGUGUUUCUGGAAAUUACCAGAGGAGGAUGACCCCACACUCCAAACAGAAGUCUCCUGGCCUGGGUGACCCCUUCCAGACCUCAACUCUGUGGGAACAGUGUGGCUGCUGUGUCUUUUUUUCUGGAUUCUGGCUAGAUUAACCUGUUAGAAAGUCUGCCAUAUUGUUUAAAAUUCAAAAGUGCAAAACAACAUUGUUACUACUACAACUUUAUGUUUUGUGCCCUGUGCAAUUUAGAGUGGUCUUAGACAAAGUCAAUGUCAUCACUCAUCAACUUCCUGUCUUUGUUGGUAAAUGAGUUGUCUGGAAUCCUUCCAGCUAUACCUUAGGUAAAAAUAGUCUGAACGUUGUGUCCUUUGAUUGUGUUCAUAUGAGCACUUUCUGGUUGUGUCCCCAGUCACUGUUAGAGCUGAUACAGUUUCAUGACACAUCCCAGGAGUUUAAUACUAGAAAUCCAAACACAUUUGCAAUAAAUCUGUUAUGUGAAUUUCUACCUCUUUUUUCUGUUGGACAUAAUUACUCUGUGCCCUAUAGUAAUGCUUAAAAUCAGAAUUCCCUAUGAAUUAAGAUGAACAAAUCUGAGCUUUGUAGUCAUUCACAAGUAACUUGCUCCUCACAGAAGACUCUCAUUCCCCUGCAAGAUUCCAGGCAUCCUCCACUCCUCAGAGGCCUUUGACAACACUUCAAGAGGGAAGACCCCUUUCUCAGGGAGAGGAGCAGAGGGGGCAAAUUGAAGGGCUGGCUGCCGAACUUUUCCCCAGGAGUGGCUGUGAUUCCAUGAGCAGAAUAUGAGCCAUUUAUUUACACUCAUUUUUUUGUGUUCUUAAUAUACCAAAAAGAGCACUGGAAUUACCGUAGAGGGAUGCAGGGUGAAUCUGGACAUAAUGGCUGCCUGUCUGGAGAAUGCUACUCCAUUAGUCUGUAAUUACUUCUGUUAAUCCUCUAGGAUGGGACCCUUGCCAUUUUACUUUUGCAUACAGGACAGUCAUGUGUGAUAACAGUAGUUUAACUUCUUGCAUCUACUACCCCAAGCUGUAGGUGGUACCCAGUGGUAGGGAUAAAGUUUUCAGGUACUAUUGCUACUCUCCUGGAUCCUGGUGGCAGAGAAGGUGGCAGGUGCUGACACCUUCUUCUCUGGGUUUCAGCUGCUUUAGGUACUGGUUUUCUUGUCUGGCAUAUGCACAUAGCUGUUACUUCUGUUCUGCAGGGCAGCAUGGAUCCAUGGAGACCUCCUCCAUUAACUGGAAGAUUCUGCAUGCCCUACCCUAGAGGUAGCCCCAUGGACUAUUAGGCACAUCCACCUCCUGAAGCUUAGUGGCCCUGUCGAUCCCCUGAACCCCUCCACCUGCAACACUUGGGCCUUUAGCAGAUCCAAAAGCAGGUGUCACUCCCGAGAGUGACAACAACACUGACUCUACCAAAACUGCCAAGACGCACAAGGCCAUUAUGUAUGCAAGAGGGCCUGGUCCUGUCCCUGGAUCGCCUUGCAGGCCCUACUCCAUGGACUGCUCUUCAUCACCAGUCACAGGCUAUAUGGGCCACCUCCCCCUCCUCCAUCAGCUCCUCCACCUACUCCAUUUGGUAAGAUGACCUGACCUGGAUGAGUGACUGGUAAAGCACAUGCAUCUUCUUCAUGAAAGACUUGGUGGGAAUGAGGUAAUGAUGGUUCUGAGUCUUGGCAAUCCAACUGUGAACGUGGCUGAGGACAUUGUAACAUAUCUCAAGUUUCUCAGGACAUACAUAUAAUGGGCUAUGUCAUUUCCCUGUAAUGCGGUGAGCUAUAGGUUUCUCUUGUCAAAAAGAAAAAAGAUAUUUACACAAAGGUAGACAUAUCAGCAGUACUAGUGUGCAUUUUGGAGACACAAUGUUUUGGGUUCUGUAAAGAAUGGGGUGCACCACUAACUUUUAGUGCUUAUGCGUCCUUUGUGAAAGAGUGAUACAUGCAUUAAGGGACACAGACCUUGUGAUCAGCAUAAUGGAAGCAUCCGUGAAGGAUCCAGUGCAGAAAUGGGGGAAACUUGAAUCACACAGGAAUACAAGGGAAAUUGUGAAUAGAAAGCAGAGUUUGAGGAGGUGCACAGGGGAGGGUGCUGGGGUCAGUGAGAUGCAGUUGGAGGUCAUUCCUGGGCACAGCCUGAGCAGGGAGCAUGGGGUCCACACAGACCCGCUAUGUGGGAUCAUUCUCAGUGCACAAUGCAGUCUUCAUCUCUGAAAUGUCAGUGUUGCCAGGGUGAACCUUGGUAAUUAUCUAAAAAGAUUGCUGUCUCCCUGGGUUUUCUGAACGUUCUGGACUUUGUGGGAAAAUUUCCCUGGAGAUAUGGGAAAUUUAACUUGGUCUUAUGGAAAUGCUUGUCUGCCCAAGUUCAUAUCCCUCAGAGACACUGAAAGUGGAGACAGGAUCCAGAUCAGCUGAGUGCCUGCACUGGCCUUCACCCUGGGUCAACCUACAGUUGAGGGUUGGCCAGAAGCCGCCCCUGCUGGACCCCUGUCAUCACCCGGACUACAGCUUUCCAUCUCCUCAAAUAUCUCUCACAAUAUUCUGAGGCUUUGCCUGUGUUCUUGCUGGCUCAGCCCUAAUACCAGUUCUCGGUGGGACCUACACAGAACCUCAGCUGUGUCCUCUGUGAAAAAAUAUUUGUUUUGAACAACAUGAUGAGAAGAAGACAUUAAAUACAUAAAGCAUCUGCAAAAUGUCUGGGAAGUGUCCACUCACCCUUCUCACAGUUUCAAUUAAGAUGAUAUCUCCACACAACGAUCAUCAAAAAAAAGAUGUUCAUGGAAAUUCAUUAAAUGAAGACUGUUAACACCUCAGCCCAGGGACUUCUAUUAAAAUCCAGGACCUGCCAAAGAAAAGAAAAUUCUGAGAAUGUGUAUAUUCAGAGAUCUACAUCUGAGAUCUGAAGACAAUCAUUUUCCAUUACAUAUAGACUCACAGAUGCAGCCUCACACUCAAAUGUUCAUCUGAGGCCACAGAUGAACUACAGAAGACAGAAUGCAUGUAGGAAAACAUAAGACUAUAGGGAAAUACACCAAAAUCUCUUAAAUCUCACUGCCUUAGGGGACAACUAUUUUGAAAUUUGAAGAGGACUGUGCAAGGUGACAGACUAUGGUGAUUAUAUAUUUAAAAAAGGUGUCAGAUCUGCCUGAAUGCUUUCCCUGCCCAUCCUGCCCCCUCCACUUUGUCCUUCCUAGUGUCCCCUAAUACACCUUUCAUCGUUCUGUCUCUGUCAGCAUCCGCUUCUAGGUGGACCUACUCUCACUCCCCAUCAGUGCACACAGUGGGGUUCUUGUACACACAGGUAACAAACUGGCAAAAAUGGCAGUGAUGGUGGAUAGUAGCAAGAUCACCCUUUGUGUGGGGAGCCCGAGAGAGUUUUCUGGGGUGGUGGGAACCUCCUACAUCUAGAUUUAUGGAGGUGCUUAUGCUCAUUUAUUGUGGAAAUAUGUACUGACUCCCUGGUGCCUCAUGGUCAAAUAGACAGGUAUCUUUCCCUAGCAUAUGGCUGAUUUCUAAUAGUGGGUAAGGAUAAGGGACCAGCAGUGACUGUGGGAGAGGAGUGAGGAGGCCACACAUGGAGUCGGACCCUCGCCCAGGGUGCCAGCUCUCCCCAUACAGCACCAUGUGUAGGAGGGCUCUGAAGAGCAGAGAUUUCUUGAUCAGUCCCGUGAACUCCAUAAUCCUCCUGCAGAUUCCUCACUGAGGGAUGGCCAGGGCAGAGGCCAGCAGCUGGAGGACACCCUGAUCAUGGCUGGAAUGGAGCAGUGGACCUGGGGGAUUGAGUCAUGGAAAGGGAAAGGCAGAAGGUAGGGACAGGGAGUUUGAGAGACAAAGAAGAGAAGAGAAGGGAACUUUUAUACCGACUUCAGCUACAUUUCUGUGUGAACAAAAGGGGAUUCUUGUCUCCAAGGGUGGGGAAGAGGACUGGCAAAAAGACAGAGUGACAUUCUCAGCUCAAGUGCCCAGGAUAUCUGCCUUGCUCUUGAAUACCUAACACAGGAAGCCCGUGCUUUCUGUCAUCAUUGGAACUGCAGCUCGUACCAUUUAGUGAAAAUCCAAUUAUGAAGCCCUCAUCAUUAAAGUAGUGCAACAAAAUUACGUGAAGAGACACAGAGAUACAAUACAAGAUAAAGCCCAACAGUAGACCGAAUGCAGUACUUACAGGAAUAUAGACUAUCAGAAAAGGAGGUAUCCCAAAGCAGGCAUUCAGACACCUGGGCAAUACCUGAAAACAUAAAAAAAUGUAGUCGUUUCCUCAAAAUAAACAUUAACGUUGGACGCGAAGGAAUCCAAAGGAGUUUGUACUACUAAAUCAGUAGUGAUUUAAGGAUUAGAGAGAUUUCAUGGUGCUAUACCCAUGAGAUCAAGUCUCGUCAAAUUAUACCCUUUAAUUUGAAGCUAUUUGUUAUAUGUAAAUUAAGCCUCAUUAAAGAUAGUUUCAAAACAUAAAAUACUAGAAAAAACUGUGGGAAAAUUCCUUGCUAAUCCUGAAGUCCAUGGGUGAUAUGAGUCUCUCUGACCAUGUCUCAAAAAUCCAAAAAAAAAAAAAUAAGACAUUUAAAAAAUUAAUAGUAGCAGAGUAGGAGGACCCUGAGCUCACCGUCCCAUGUUUUCAACUACCUAACAUCCACAUCCAAGUUCAUAAACCAGAGAGCGAUCCAAACACUGGCAGAACAAACUCCACAAUAAAUAGUGAGAAGCUGCAUCUGAGAGGUUAAGAAGGUCAGAAAGGUGGAGGGCAAAUGCCUGCAGAGAGGGCAGAGAAACUGAGUCCUCACACCAGGGAGCUCACACAAGGAAGACUAAUCCCCUAUCAGAGGGGCUGAAUUCCUUGAGCUUGGAUCCUGGAGCUUUGUGGUCAGCUGACUCAGCACUGGGUGAUCCAGGAGGAUGAGUGAUAGCCAGGUCCUUGCCUGUGUAGAGAGGGAAUGUAAACAUGGUAGUUUACACAAUGCCAGAGGCAACAGGAGACAGAUAUGUUCAUGCUGAUAUCUGAGUGGUUGGGGGUCUUCUCCAGAAAAGAGGGAUGCUCACAGGCAUCAUUCUUCCCCCACCCCCAACCAAUAAACACAGAAGCACCUACCAUGGGUUGGGCUGCACAGACACUUGCUACUGAUCCCAUUAGCAGUGUGCCAAUCCCAAGAGUUCUCUGGGGGACUCACUCACUCCGAGGCUGCUGGCCUCAGCCCUGGGCUCAGGACAAACUUUGUUAUAUCCACAUGGGCACCCUGUCUGGUCUGCUGCAUGCAAAGCUGCCACCGCACGCUGUGCACAUCUGCACUGCACCGAGCUGUGCACCCCCUGCUGCCCUCAUAUGUCUCAACCAGCCAUGUGUCCCCAGCCACCAGCGCACUCUGUGAAUAGCCAUGAGCCCCUGGCUGCCCUGGUGCAUAGACACUAGCCACCAAAGGACAUCUACAGAUUUGUCAACAGAAUCUUGGCAAGCCAGAAGUGAGUGGCAUGACAUAUUCAAAGUGCUAGAUAGAAAAAUCAGCAGCAAAGAAUACUCUAUCCUGUAAGGCUAUCAUUCAGAAUAGGAGACCAAGAGUUUCCUAAGCAAAAACUAAAGGAGUUUGUACUACUAAAUCAGUCCAGCAAGAAAUAUUAAGAGGGAUUCUUUGAGUGGAGAGACCAAAAGUGACAAUAGAGAGGUAGAAAACACAAAUCCAGUAAAAACAAAUAUUUCUGUAAAAAAUCAGUCAAGGAACUCACAAAGAUGGAUAUAAAAUAUAACGUACCAAAACAUAGGGAGGAGAAAAUAAUGGGUUCAAAGGUAAAUGACCAUCAACUUAAGACAAACUACUAAACACAAAGAAAUUAUGUGAAAACUUAAUAGUAACCAUAUAUCAAAAACCACUCAUAAAUAUGCAAAGAAUAAGGAGAAAGAAAUAAAAAUAUAUCACUAAAGAAAAUCAGCAAAACAUGAAAGAGAGAAAGACAAAGGAUCGAGAAAAACAUGAGAAACCACAACAAAACAAAUAAAAUGGCAAUACAUACAUACAUAUCAAUAAUUACUUUGAAUGUAAAUGGAAUGAAUGCUCCAAUCAAAAGACAUAGGGUGUAAAAAUGGAUGAAAAAACAAAACAGAUUUAUAUGCUACCUACAAGUGACCCAUUUUAGACCUGAAGACACCUACAGAAUGAAAGUGAGAGGAUGGAGAAACAUCAUGCAAAUGAAUGUAAAAAGAAAGCUGGGGUAGCAAUUCUUUUAUCAGAGAAAAUAGACUUUAAAACAAAGAACGUAAUGAGACAAAGGACAAAACCACAUAACACUAAAGGGUACAAUCCAAUAAGAAGAUAUAACAAUGGUAAAUAUAUAUGAACCCAACAUAGGAACACCUAAAUACAUAAAAGUGAACAACGUAAAGGAACUAAUUGGAAAAUAAGACUUUCACACCCCACUUACACAGUGGACACAUCAUCUAAACAUAAAAUCAACAAGGAAACGAUGUCUUUGAAUGACAUAGGGGAAUAGAUAUAUUUCACAGAUAUGUUUAGGACAUUCCAGUGUAACACAGGAGAAUAUACAUUCUUUUCAAGUGCACAUGGAAUAGAUAGAAUAGAUCACAUAUUAGGCUCCAAAACAAACCUUAACAAAUUCAAGCAGACUGAAAUGACACCAUGAAUAUUUUCAGACCACAAUGCUAUGAAACUAGAAAUCAACCACAAGAAAAAUUCUGGGAAGACCACAAAUACAUGGAGGUUAAAUAACAUACUACUAAAAAAUGAAUGGGUCAACCAGAAAAUCAAAGAAGAAAUUUUAAAAAUGCAUGGAAACAAAUGAAAAUGAAAAUGAAAAAACAAUGGUCCAAAAACAUUUGGAAUGUAGGAAAGUGGUUCUAAGAGGCUAUUUCAGAACAAUACAGGGCCUACACCAAGAAGGGAGAAAAAUCUCAACUAAAGAACUGAACCUUGCACCUAAAGGAGCUAGGGAAAGAACAACAAACAAAACCUAAAAUGGCAGAAGGAAGGAAAUAAGAUUAGGGCUGAAAUAAAUGACAUAGAAACUAAACAAACAACAGAAAAGAUCAAUGAGAGCAGGAGCUGGUUCACUGUGAAGAAAAAAAAAAACAUUGAUAAACCUCUAGCUAGACUUCUCCAUAAGAAAAGAGAAAGGACUCAAAUAAAAUCACAAGUGAGAGAGGAGAAAUCACAACCAACACCACAGAAAUACAAACAAUCAUAAUAUAAUAUUAUGAAAAAUUGUAUGUCAACAAUUUGGACAAUUUAGGAGAAACAGAUAAAUUCCUAGAAACAUGUAAAUUACAUAAACUGAAACAGAAAGAAAUAGAAAACAUGAACAGAACAAUAACCAGCAAAGAAAUUGAGUCAGUAAUAAAAAAAAAAAAAAACUUCCCAACAAUCAAAAGUCUAGGACCAGAUGACUUCACAGGUGAAUUCCACCACUCAGCUAAUAAAGAGUUAAUACCUAAUCUUCUUAGGCUAUUCCAAAAUAUAAAAAAGGAUGGAAAACUUCCAAAUUUAUUCUAUGAGGCCAGCAUUGCCCUGAUACCAAAACCAGAUAAAGAACCACUAAAAAAGAGAACUCCAGGCCAAUAUCCCUGACAAACAUGGAUGCAAAAUUAUCAAUAAAAUACUAUCUACCAAAUUCAAAAAUACCUUAAAAAAAUCAUUCGCCACAAUUAGUGGGAUUUAUUCCCAAGCUUCAAGCAUGGUCCAAUAUUUGCUAAUCAAUUAAUGUGAUAUAUUAUAUCACCAGGAGAAAGGAUAAGAACCAUAUGAUUGUGUUUCCUGGUGGCUCAUUCCUUGAAGCGUCUGACAUUGGCUCAAGUCAUGACCAUAUGGUUCGUGAGUUCAAGCCCUGUGUUGGGCUCUCUGCUGAAAGCUCAGAGCCUGGAGCCUGCUUCAAAUUCUGUGUCUCCUUCUCUCUCCCCCCCGCCUCUCCCACUCAUGUUAUUCAUUUUUGUCUCUCAAAAAUGAAUAAUCAUUUAAAAAAAGAGCCAUAUGAUCAUUUCAAUACAUGCAGAAAGAAGCAUUUGGCAAAGUACAAUAUCCAUUCAUUAUUAAAACCAAAAAAAAAGUAGGUUUAGAGGGAACAUACAUCAACAUAACAAAGGUUAUCUAUGAAAACCACACAGUUAACAUCAUCCUUAAUGGGGAAAAUCUGAGAGCUUUCCCUCUAAGGUGAGGAACAAGACAAGGUUAUCUAUUCUCACCACUUUUAUUACACAUAGUACUGGAAGUCCAAGCCACAGCAAUAAGACUUACAUACAUACAUACAUACAUACAUACAUACACACACACACACACACACACAUACAUACAUGGAAUCAAAAUCAGGAAGAAGAAAAACUUUCACACUUUGCAGAUUACAUGACACUAUAUACAGAAAACCUUAGAGUCACCCAAUAACUGCUAGAACUGAUAAAUGAAUUCAGCAAUGUCACAGGAUACAAAAUCAUUGUACAGAAAUCUGUUUAAUUUCUACACAAUAAUGCAGCAGUAGAAAGAGAAAUUAAGAAAACAGUCCCAUAUUCAAUUGCACACCAAAUAAUAAGGUACCUAUGAAUAAAUCUAACCAAAGAGGUGAGAGACCUAUACUCUGAAAACUAUACAACACUGAUGAAAGAAAUUCAAGAUGACACAAAGAAAUGGAAGGACAUUCCAUGUUCAUGGAUUGGAAAUACAAAUAUUGUGAAAAUGUCUAUAUUUCCCAAAGAGAUUGACACAAUUAAUGCAAUCUCCAUCACAAUAUCAACAGUAUUUUUCACAGAACUAGUACAAUCCUAACAUUUGUAUGGAACCACAAAAGACCCCAAUCUUCAGAAUAAACAUCCUUUAUGUGAAGUGAUAAUUAUGGAUGGCAUUAUGCCUCUGGAUCUUCUCUCCAAAACACAUUAAUGCUGGUCUAAUAAUUUGAAACAAACAUUAGACAUAAUCCAACCAAGAAUCAUUCUACAAAAUGCAUUCUACAAAAGUACACUCAAAGCUUUGCAGAUGAUGAAAAAUAUGGAAAACCGAAAAAUCAUCAUGGCCAAGUGGAGCCUGAGGAGACAGGAUGACUGAAUGUAAUGUGCUAUCUGAGAUGAGUCUGGAACAGAAGAGGUUGAAACCUAAGAAAUAUGAGUAAAAAUAUAAACGUUAGUUAAUACCUCCUCUGGAUAUUGAUUGUGGUAAUGUACCAACUGAUAUGACAUCGAUAGUCACAAAACAGUCUGAUGUAUGUGGAGACUCAGUACUAUCUUACCAAUUUUUUUGGUAACUAGAAACCCAUAAUGAAUGAAAAGAUUAUUAGUAAUAUUAGUAAUCAUGGUUUUAUUUUUUCAACACAUGAUAUUAUAAUAGUCUUGGUAUUAGUUACUAGUGAUUAACAUUUACCUAUUCUUAUUGUCCUCACUAUUGUUUAAAUAAUAGCACUCAUGUUAUAGAAAACUGAAUGCACAAUGUUAUACAAUUCAUAGAAACAUCUAUUUUACAUAUUUUAAGAUAAUAACAUAGGUACAUAACACUGUAAGGCUAAGACCCAGAAGUACAAGAGGGAAAGACAACACUUUAGGAAGAGGUGACUUGGAAAGGGUGCUUCUGUGCCUAGGUGAUGGCUCAGCAGCCUGGCUGGGGGUCAAAAGGCCAGCGGUAACUUAGACUCACAAGUAUGUUAGUAACUUAGAUCAAAGUAACUUAGACCGACAAAGAUCUUAGAGCCAAAGAGUUGAUCUCCACCUAUGAUUAGUAGAAUGUCAUAGUUUCAUAGAAUAUGACAAUCAGGCUGGCAAUAGAUGGCUAAAAUAUUAUUUAGGGCUUUAUUUUUAACAAAAAAAAAUGGAUGUGUAAAAAUUUGGGUUUGGAAUGUUAAGAAAAAUCACAGGCCCAUGAUGGAGACACUUACAUUAAGGCCCCAUGUCACCAAACCUAGUUUCAUUCCUCCAGGAAUGUAACCUUUAACCAGUUAACAGAAUUUCCUAGUCAGGGCUAGAAAUCUUACUGAUAGACCCCUUCCAUUCUCCUUAGGGAGGCAAAUAUGCCUAAUAAUGUAUUCCUUGUCACUAAAUUUUUAAAAAUUUUAAUUUUUAAAAAGUUUAUUUAUUUUGAGAGAGACACAGAGAAAGAGAGCACAUGCAAGGGAGGGGAAGGGAGAGAGGGAGAGAAGAAUCCCAUACCUACAAGUUCGGUAUCAAGAGUCAGACACUUAACUGAGCCACUCAGGCAUCCCAAGAAUGUGGAGUUUUAGAGGUUAGCAGGCUUGGCUGAGAUACAGUCCUGAGGGCACUGCCCUACUCCUGGAGAGAAGGCAGCAAACAACUUGCAGGUAGAUGGCAUGGAAACAGUGAUCUCUACAACACCUGGAGCACACAAUGGGGAGAUUACACACUCUUCUUGGAGCACAUUCCUGAGAGACAGGGUUUAUAAAGAUGCCUCUCUAGGGAUGAGAGCUUGAUGGCACCAUUUCCCUCCUCUGCCCCCCAGCAUAAACACAGAGCCACCUGCUGGAAACAAUGCGCUACCCACACUGGCUACCUAACCUGCUUACACCAGGGAGGAGCCAAGAUGGCGGAACAGCAUGGAAGAUUUUUGUGUAUCUCGCAUCCAUGAAAUACAGCCAGACCAACACUAAACCAUCCUACACACCUAGAAAACUGAUUUGAGGAUUAACACAACAAACUGUACAACCUGAACCAUAGAAUUCAGCAGGUACAUGAUGCAGAGAGGUGAAUUUGGGGAGGGAGAAGCUGUGAAAGGUAGGGAACCACUUUUGCGGGUGGAGAGAGGACAGAGACUGGGGAGGGGGGGAGAAUAUGGGAAAAGCACCCCUCCCCAAAAGCAGCUGGAGAGAAAGUAGAAAAUUGGAAACAGCCGCAGGAACUAAACUAAAAUGGGAGAAAGGAGAGGGUUUAAAUUCCAUUAAGACUGUAAACAAGGGGAGCGCAAAGGCUGCAACUCCGCAGCUUGAUACCUGGUGGUGCUCUGGUGGGAAGGGCAAAUCCCGAAGAACAGAGUGGUGUCCGGGAGGUUCUCAGACCACAUGGGGAAAAGCAGUUCCACUGCUGCAAGGACAUUUGGUAGAGACUGUUGAAGGCACCUGGUCCCAGCAGACCCCAGAAAAUGGCCACAUUCGCUGGUGCUGGAACAAGGUCAUUAAGGGUGAAGCCUGGUGCCAGAUGUGUGUUGUGAUUUUCCAUAAUCCCAGAAAUGCUGCUGCUACACUGUCUCGCAAACUUUUUCUGGGACAGACUGGCACCUGGCAGCAGCAGGGUCCAGCAAGCAUUCCUGGGUGCAGCCAACAUUCAGCCAUUGCCCAUUUGG